UCUCUGGUGGUCCAGUGGUUAGGACUCCACACUCACAGUGUUGAGGGCCUGGGUUCAAUUCCUGGUUGGGGAA
rfam:TPA: Bos taurus chromosome X, whole genome shotgun sequence.